rnacentral:rRNA from 1 species
GACGAACGCUGGCGGCGUGCUUAACACAUGCAAGUCGAACGGAAAGGCCCUGCUUUUGUGGGGUGCUCGAGUGGCGAACGGGUGAGUAACACGUGAGUAACCUGCCCUUGACUUUGGGAUAACUUCAGGAAACUGGGGCUAAUACCGGAUAGGAGCUCCUGCUGCAUGGGGGGGGUUGGAAAGUUUCGGCGGUUGGGGAUGGACUCGCGGCUUAUCAGCUUGUUGGUGGGGUAGUGGCUUACCAAGGCUUUGACGGGUAGCCGGCCUGGGAGGGUGACCGGCCACAUUGGGACUGAGAUACGGCCCAGACUCCUACGGGAGGCAGCGGUGGGGAAUAUUGCGCAAUGGGCGGAAGCCUGAUGCAGCAACGCCGCGUGCGGGAUGACGGCCUUCGGGUUGUAAACCGCUUUCGCCUGUGACGAAGCGUGAGUGACGGUAAUGGGUAAAGAAGCACCGGCUAACUACGUG